AGUCGAGCGAAGCUUUUCAGUAGUUUACUACAGAAAAUGACUGAGCGGCGAACGGGUGAGUAACGCGUGAGCAACCUACCUUAGUUACUGGGAUAGCCCGAGGAAACUCGGAUUAAUACCGGAUAUUCUUAUUUAAUCACAUGAUUUUUUAAGGAAAGGUCAGCCGAACUAAGAUGGGCUCGCGUUCUAUCAGCUAGUUGGUAGGGUAAUGGCCUACCAAGGCUACGACGGAUAGCUGGUCUGAGAGGACGAUCAGCCACACUGGGACUGAGACACGGCCCAGACUCCUACGGGAGGCUGCAGCAGGGAAUAUUGCGCAAUGAGCGAAAGCUUGACGCAGCGACACCGCGUGUGGGAUGACGGAUCUAGGUUUGUAAACCAUUUUCAGGAGGA
rnacentral:rRNA from 1 species